rnacentral:lncRNA from 1 species
UUGAAGGGAAGUGGUAAAGGGAAGACCUGAGGUCCGAUCUCUUCAACACUAGUGAAGGGAGCAGACCCUAUGACAAAGCAGCAACAUGGUAAACCGUUGUUGUGUCAAGACAUGCAAGCAACACUUUGAUUACAAGCCCCAACAUAAGCAGGGUGCAAAAUGGAAACUACACAGAACCUUGGUACGUCACCUGCGACGGCGACGUCACCUGCGAGUUCCGCGGAACCCCUGACGCCGUCACCAGCUGGACCAUCCGCGGCACUGGACCAUCCAGCGACGGCCGUGACGCCGUCACCAGCUGGACCAUCCGCGGCACUGGACCAUCCAGCGACGGCCGUGACGCCGUCACCAGCUGAACCAUCCGCGGCCCUGGACCAUCCAGCGACGGCCGUGACGCCGUCACCAGCUGGACCAUCCGCGGCACUGGACCAUCCAGCGACGGCCGUGGCGUCGACUCUGCCGGUGCCGGAGAGGUCGGCGACGUCACCUGCGCCGCUGGUGUCAACACCGCAUGGACAUCAGCUGCGAGCUGGUAAACGGCGGUGGAGUGGAAGCAGAGCGCGCAAGCCACCAGCCAGCUGACUCAGAGCCCAGGGGGCGUUCGCCACCAACAUCCGCACGGCGCAGCUGCAGAGGUGAUUUCUGCCAUGGAGCAGCAUCCGCGGCUCCAUGACAUCAUCCUUCCAUCAUUCUCCAUCAUCAUUUCCGGAGCUCACCCGACGGCGGAGCUGGCUUAGGUCGGCGUUUGAGGCGCGGCGGGGGGCAACGUCUCUGUGCCCUGCUCCGGGUCCCCGCCGCCUGCGGUCUCUUCUGCUGCCGCCACUGAGGGGAACGGCUCUUCUUUGAAGACAUCAUCGGUCGACGGUGAUGCUGGCGGGCCGGUGGCGGCGUGCCCCGUCGGCAGCGCGCCUGGGGAGGACGCUGGUGACGACGAAUCUUCAUCGCCGUCGGCACCGGUCGCGAGCGAGUCGCUGUUUAGUUGGCCUGCUACUGUGCCAAAAAGUGCGACUGUGGCCAGACUGGUAUACGAUUUGUCAGUGCUUACGCCCCUCUUGCCGUGCCGGCCGUGCUCUUUGCCGUCUAUUGGGGAUGCGUUAGAGUUAUCGUUUUGGGGUUUAUACCGGUAUCAAGAUUGAUUUAAAAGAUGGAUUUCAUCACAUUUCUCGCGCACGUUCCACACGUCCUUUUGGUGUUUUGUAUGAUGGUAAAACGUGCUUAUACCUUUUCUCUGUUACCAAUGGGCCCUAUUAGGUACUGCAUCUCCUGCAUUAUUAGGUAGAGAUGCAGUACCAUUAUUAGGUACUGCAUUAUUAGGUACUGAAGGAGAUGCAGUUAGGUACUGCAUCUCCUUCGGAGAUGCAGUACCUAACAGAUGCUUUCAGUGAACUUGUAGAGUCGAGAUUUAACGUCAGGUGUUUGGCGUAUUUAGAUGAUUUUCUUUUCAUGUCCAAGGACGCUGAAUGGUAUCGCUGCGUUUCUGACUAGUGUUGGGUUGUGUAUUAAUUUCAAUAAAUUAGUUCUCGUUCCGUU